AAAACCCGAUACUCCAUGGUGUUGCUGUUGCCACCCCUGGAACAGCCUGUGGAAAGAAGAGUCUUGGUCCAACCAGACAUCCAGAAUCCUGACCCUGCCAUAUACCAGCUGAGAAGCCCUAAAUCCAACGACCCUCCCAUCUGCCUAUUCACCGAUUUUGAUUCUACAAUCAAUGUGUCAAGUAUCACGAACUCCACAGAGUUCAGCUCGAAAAAUACGGUGCUGGACAUGAGAUACACGGGUUCCAAGAGCUACGGGGCCCUGUUCCGGAACAACGACGCUGAUUCAGAAUGCGAAGUCGCCUCUGACCAGGUGGUCUACUACCCCAACUUAGGAAUCCCCUGUGAUGCCAAGUUGGUAGAGAAAAGCUUUGAAACAGACAUGAACCUAAACCUCAAAAACGUGUUAGUGAUUGUGUUCCGCAUCCUCCUCCUGAAAAUGGCCGGGUUUAACCUGCUCAUGACGCUGCGGCUGUGGUCCAGCUGAGGUCGCCAAGAAUGUGAGCCCGGUGCUCCUACUCCUCACUGCCCUCCUCGCCCUCUUCAAGCAGAGAGGCACUCUCAGCCUCCAUGGAAAAAGUCCCCUCUGCCUCUCUGCAAUGCCACCAACUCCACCAACUCACAAUUAUCCUACCAGAUAAUUGUGACCAAGAUGCUGAAGAGCUGCCAAACAUUGCUGCCACCCCUUCUGUUCCCUCAUUGCUGCUUGUCACUGCCUGGUGUUCCCGGCAAAGGCAGGGGCUGUGGCUGCCUCUCCUGGCUGUGGAGACACCCCCUACCCCUCCCAGAGACUGCCUCUGAUGUCCCACUGGGCGAUGGGUCCCCAGGGCGUUUUCUCAGGCUCUGGCUCCUGGAGAAUCUUGUGAGGAGCUUAUAUUUUUAAAUAAUGUUCAUAAAGAGAUACAUAUUACCCUUUUCCCCAAAAUGUGGGGAAAUUAUCUCCUUAUCAGGCCCCGCUAUGCUGUGUAUCUGAGCCACAUUGUGUAUUCUGCUGCCAUGGCUUCAUUAAAAGUGAUUUAAAAGA